ACGAACGCUGGCGGCGCGCCUAACACAUGCAAGUCGAACGAGAGAUGAGGAGCUUGCUCUUCAAAUCGAGUGGCGAACGGGUGAGUAAUACAUCGGAACGUGUCCGCUCGUGGGGGACAACCAGCCGAAAGGUUGGCUAAUACCGCAUGAGUUCUACGGAAGAAAGAGGGGGACCCGCAAGGGCCUCUCGCGAUGAGAUGGCCUCGCGUCCGAUUAGCUAGUUGGUGAGGUAACGGCCCACCAAGGCGACGAUCGGUAGCCGGACUGAGAGGUUGAACGGCCACAUUGGGACUGAGACACGGCCCAGACUCCUACGGGAGGCAGCAGUGGGGAAUAUUGCACAAUGGGGGAAACCCUGAUGCAGCGACGCCGCGUGGAGGAAGAAGGUCUUCGGAUUGUAAACUCCUGUUGUUGAGGAAGAUAAUGACGGUACUCAACAAGGAAGUGACGGCUAACUACGUGCCAGCAGCCGCGGUAAAACGUAGGUCACAAGCGUUGUCCGGAAUUACUGGGUGUAAAGGGAGCGCAGGCGGGAGAACAAGUUGGAAGUGAAAUCCAUGGGCUCAACCCAUGAACUGCUUUCAAAACUGUUUUUCUUGAGUAGUGCAGAGGUAGGCGGAAUUCCCGGUGUAGCGGUGGAAUGCGUAGAUAUCGGGAGGAACACCAGUGGCGAAGGCGGCCUACUGGGCACCAACUGACGCUGAGGCUCGAAAGUGUGGGUAGCAAACAGGAUUAGAUACCCUGGUAGUCCACACCGUAAACGAUGAUUACUAGGUGUUGGAGGAUUGACCCCUUCAGUGCCGCAGUUAACACAAUAAGUAAUCCACCUGGGGAGUACGACCGCAAGGUUGAAACUCAAAGGAAUUGACGGGGGCCCGCACAAGCAGUGGAGUAUGUGGUUUAAUUCGACGCAACGCGAAGAACCUUACCAAGUCUUGACAUCCCUUGACGAACAUAGAAAUAUGUUUUCUCUUCGGAGCAAGGAGACAGGUGGUGCAUGGUUGUCGUCAGCUCGUGUCGUGAGAUGUUGGGUUAAGUCCCGCAACGAGCGCAACCCUUAUGGUCAGUUACUACGCAAGAGGACUCUGGCCAGACUGCCGUUGACAAAACGGAGGAAGGUGGGGAUGACGUCAAAUCAUCAUGCCCUUUAUGACUUGGGCUACACACGUACUACAAUGGCGUUAAACAAAGAGAAGCAAGACCGCGAGGUGGAGCAAAACUCAGAAACAACGUCCCAGUUCGGACUGCAGGCUGCAACUCGCCUGCACGAAGUCGGAAUUGCUAGUAAUCGUGGAUCAGCAUGCCACGGUGAAUACGUUCCCGGGCCUUGUACACACCGCCCGUCACACCAUGAGAGCCGGGGGGACCCGAAGUCGGUAGUCUAACCGCAAGGAGGACGCCGCCGAAGGUAAAACUGGUGAUUGGGGUG
rnacentral:rRNA from 1 species